GUUCUAUUGGUUUUUGUCGUUAAAUCUUCUUGUAACAGAUUUUAUAUGUUUAGCAAUUGAGAAACUCGUAUUUAAUUUGUCGUUACGGUUCAUGGGAGUAAAUAGGGAUUUUAUUUUGACAAUAUUCUCUGGAUCAUGUUUUUAGCAGAAAGAUAGAACAAUCAAAUCAUAAUGGAAAAGAAAGACUGUUUAAGUGUCAAUAUUCUAUACAGGGGCAUUAAGAAGGGCAUCUUUGAGUUCAAAUAUUAUGUAUGGAAUCAAAACUAAUACAUACCUAGCUCAAAUUUACUAAAGUUCUCAUGGGUUGUAGGAUUUAAUAAUUUGUGGAUUCAUUAAAUCACAAAUCACAUUCACAGUAGCUAAAUAAAGCAUGCAUUCAGAUUCGUUAAGAAUUAUUCCCAGCAAGUGUUAUGAUCAAGAUAAGGGUUUCAUGUUCCCGGAUGUACAUGACAGAUCAACAUCUGGUUUUAUAAUAUCAUCUAUUAAAAGAACACUAAAUACAUAGAAUUAUAGCUGUUAUGUUUGGGAUUUUUUAUUUCAAUUUGAAAUUUACUUUUUUUUAAAUCAAUCUGAGAAUAAAAUUAAAAAAACUACUACUGCCACCAGUGUUUUGAUUUACUCAUUCGUUGUUGGUUACUUAACCUUCAGUGGCAACUAUUUCAUGCAUAUUUAGAACGACUAGUUAUUUGAAGAAACACGCGAAUUUCUCACUUUGUAGUUAAGUACAUUAAUAACAUUAAUCAUUGAGGUUGAUUUGAUGUGUACGAACUGUACACUCAACAUUGUUGCAUUCUUAUAAAUUGUUUGUCCCUUAUACAUUUAAUAUAUAUGUCUUUUCAGGGAACCUUUAUUCUCAUGCUAGGCUGCAGUACUCAUAUGGUAAUAGGUCGCAUUCGGUAAAGUCACAAUAAAACCAGGAUAAUUCGGUAGUACUUAACACAUGUACCACAUAUAUUUUUUCGUAUCUGACAAAACCAAUUGACCAAACUAUGAUGAUGUUUGUAAAAUUUCCAAAAUGAAGACUUCAACUAAAGCGCUUGGAAGCCUGAAUGCAAUAUCUACCUUUAUGGUAACCCUGCAUCAAAGUUACAAUGAUAGUAAAGCUAUAAUGAUAUUGGUGACAUAUUAUCUUUUUCAGAAAAGACGCGGGCAAUUUGGAAAAAUUGGAAAUAUUUUCCUAAGUGACUAUGAAAAGAAUACAUUUGAAAUCUGAAUGAGUUCAGACAUGAUUAGUUCCUUCCUCUAUGUCAGGCACAGACGGUCAAAGUCGCUUUCAAACAAAGGUGUCCCUGAAACAAUCACACAUUCAUGUAUUGUGCUUACAUUCAGAAUAAAACUAGACCUACCAUUAAAAGACUAUAACAGACAAUUUAAUGAAACUGUUCGUCUUUUAUUUCAAAUAUUCAAGAGAACAGAUUUAGUUACUAUAAGUGUUGUUCAAUGUGUAUUCAUUAAAAGAUAUGCAUUUCAUCUGUUUAUAUAUUGUUAUUGAAAUAGUAAAAUAUGAACGAUAAAAACUUAGAAAAAUCCCCUAAAAAGCCACCAUCCAAAGAUCAUAGGAAAACGUUAAAAGAACAGAAAAAUAUAAUCAAGAAAACAAAAACUAUAUAUAUAAAGAAAUAAUGUAAAGGAAGAAAUAUAAAAGUGAAAAAAGUACUCAAAGAGAAAAAAAAGUUAUUAAAAC
rnacentral:lncRNA from 1 species